CAUGCACAUAAUCAAGCUGUAUAUAGCUUUGGCUCAACUGAAGCCCAAAACUCUGUUUACAUCAGCAGCGUUUUUAAACUGUUCUAGAGACUCGACUGAAGCUCAACUGUAAUUUGUAUACUGCUCAGUACUUGCCUAUAUUCAAAAAGUGUUGAAAAUAUAAGUGAACAUUUUGUCAAUAAGAGAUUAACAUGUCAUAAGCCCAAAAAUAUUUCUAAUUCAAUAUCAAGUAAAUUAACCAAGAAAGACGGAAACUAAAAAGCUGCUUGUUUGAGUGCCUUGCCAAUGAAUAAGCUUAACAAAACAAGUUAAAUAUAAAUAAUUUCGGUACUGAAAGACAGACGGGAAUUUAAAAGCAGCGUGUUUGAAGGCAUCUUCCAAAAAGAGAAGGCUUAACAAAAUAAUUAAUUAAAAAAUUAAUUAUCCAGUUUUAAAAUGAAACAUCAUACGCCGAAGAUAGAAGAUGUUCCCGUUAACUGCCGUGGUUCGCCUUACCAAAAAAAUUUAUUUCUUACGUAUAAACUAAAAUUACUUAUAUGGGGAGCAAUUUUCUGUGAUUUACUUUUUAUUUCGGUUUUCCUAGCGUUAUUAAUUUCAAUUUUGUAUCUUUGUUUUCAAUAAACCAAGGGAAGAAAAGUC